rnacentral:rRNA from 1 species
GAUGAACGCUGGCGGCGUGCCUAAUACAUGCAAGUCGAGCGAACGGACGAGAAGCUUGCUUCUCUGAUGUUAGCGGCGGACGGGUGAGUAACACGUGGAUAACCUACCUAUAAGACUGGGAUAACUUCGGGAAAACGGAGCUAAUACCGGAUAAUAUUUUGAACCGCAUGGUUCAAAAGUGAAGGACGGUCUUGCUGUCACUUAUAGAUGGAUCCGCGCUGCAUUAGCUAGUUGGUAAGGUAACGGCUUACCAAGGCAACGAUGCAUAGCCGACCUGAGAGGGUGAUCGGCCACACUGGAACUGAGACACGGUCCAGACUCCUACGGGAGGCAGCAGUAGGGAAUCUUCCGCAAUGGGCGAAAGCCUGACGGAGCAACGCCGCGUGAGUGAUGAAGGUCUUCGGAUCGUAAAACUCUGUUAUUAGGGAAGAACAUAUGUGUAAGUAACUGUGCACAUCUUGACGGUACCUAAUCAGAAAGCCACGGCUAACUACGUG